rnacentral:sRNA from 1 species
AUAUCCUACAGACCUCAUCAAAACCCGGUUGAUCAUGCAGAACAUGCUGGAACCAUCGUACAGGGGGCUUCUCCAUGCUUUUUCUACUAUUUACCAACAGGAAGGGUUCCUUGCUCUUUAUCGAGGGGUUUCCCUCACUGUUGCAGGCUCAGAGCCCCUACCUCCCACACAAUGGAGGAGUAGAUGUCCAUUUCUCAGGAGCAGUGGACUGCUUCCGGCAGAUAGUGAAGGCCCAGGGGGUCCUGGGGCUCUGGAAUGGAUUGACAGCCAAUUUACUGAAGAUAGUUCCAUAUUUUGGAAUUAUGUUUAGCACCUUUGAGUUCUGCAAGAGAAUCUGUCUUUAUCAAAAUGGUUACAU